rnacentral:rRNA from 1 species
GCAUAGCCAUAAAACUCGGCAGUAAAGUACAAUUUCUGUCCGCCAGGGGACUACAAGCGUCAGCUUAAAACCCAAAGGACUUGGCGGUGCCUCAGACCCACCUAGAGGAGCCUGUUCUAGAACCGAUAACCCCCGUUAAACCUCACCUCUUCUUGUUAUUACCGCCUAUAUACCGCCGUCGUCAGCAUACCCUGUGAAGGAAACAUAGUAUGCAAGGUGGGUAAAACCCAAAACGUCAGGUCGAGGUGUAGCGAAUGAGGAGGGAAGAAAUGGGCUACAUUCUCUAGUUUAGAGAAUAACGAAUGGGGGUGUGAAACAACCCCCUGAAGGUGGAUUUAGCAGUAGACCGGAAAAAGAGAGUCCCGUCGAAACUGGCUCUGAGGCGCGC